rnacentral:rRNA from 1 species
UCUGGUAACCAUAGCCAAGAGGUCACACCUGUUCCCAUGCCGAACACAGAAGUUAAGCUCUUGAACGCCGAUGGUAGUUGGGACUUUGUCCCUGUGAGAGUAGGACG